rnacentral:snRNA from 1 species
CGGGGGUCCCAGUUCCGAACCC